CGUGUAUCUGCCCCAAGAAUAACACCGUCCUCGAAGAUUAAACCCACAAUGGUAGUUCCAGUCUUAAGGUAAGACGGAGAUUUAAGACCUUUCUUUGCAAGCAUAUCAUUUCUUCUGCAGAGAUCAAAACUAAACCCACCCUUGGGAGGAACAUCAAUUGCAGAGCUAGACAUAGCUAAAUUUCAAGUGCACCUGAAAUGAGGAAUAUGAAGGAUCCAACCAGGC
rnacentral:misc_RNA from 1 species